UCCCUUUUGGAGUGGGACUGUCUAUCCUAA
rnacentral:piRNA from 1 species